rnacentral:rRNA from 1 species
AGUUACACUCCCAAACCCCUGUGAACAUACCACUUGUUGCCUCGGCGGAUCAGCCCGCUCCCGGUAAAACGGGACGGCCCGCCAGAGGACCCCUAAACUCUGUUUUCUAUAUGUAACUUCUGAGUAAAACCAUAAAUAAAUCAAAACUUUCAACAACGGAUCUCUUGGUUCUGGCAUCGAUGAAGAACGCAGCAAAAUGCGAUAAGUAAUGUGAAUUGCAGAAUUCAGUGAAUCAUCGAAUCUUUGAACGCACAUUGCGCCCGCCAGUAUUCUGGCGGGCAUGCCUGUUCGAGCGUCAUUUCAACCCUCAAGCACAGCUUGGUGUUGGGACUCGCGUUAAUUCGCGUUCCUCAAAUUGAUUGGCGGUCACGUCGAGCUUCCAUAGCGUAGUAGUAAAACCCUCGUUACUGGUAAUCGUCGCGGCCACGCCGUUAAACCCCAACUUCUGAAUGUUGACCUCGGAUCAGGUAGGAAUACCCGCUGAACUUAAGCAUAUCAAUAAGCGGAGGAA